UCUAAAUCGAUGAUAGGAAGUAGUAACUAUUUUCUUCCUCUAGAGAGAAUUGGUCCUUUGGCUGAAAGACCAUGAGGUAAGUUAUAGUGAAGUCGCCCUGGAGACUAAAUGCUGAAGCUAGUAAGCAUUUUCGGGUCAGUCCGUUAUAACUGGUUAAGUGUCAAUAAAGUUGAACUUCUAUCAGUAAGGAAUAUUUUUAUUCAUUACUGGUGUUUGUUUGAUUUUGGAAUUAAGGUGGUACCGCGAAAGCUUUCGUCCUUAAA
rnacentral:ncRNA from 1 species